GACGAACGCUGGCGGCGUGCUUAACACAUGCAAGUCGAACGGAAAGGCCCUGCUUUUGUGGGGUGCUCGAGUGGCGAACGGGUGAGUAACACGUGAGUAGCCUGCCCUUGACUUUGGGAUAACUUCAGGAAACUGGGGCUAAUACCGGAUAGGAGCUCCUGCUGCAUGGUGGGGGUUGGAAAGUUUCGGCGGUUGGGGAUGGACUCGCGGCUUAUCAGCUUGUUGGUGGGGUAGUGGCUUACCAAGCCUUUGACGGGUAGCCGGCCUGAGAGGGUGACCGGCCACAUUGGGACUGAGAUACGGCCCAGACUCCUACGGGAGGCAGCAGUGGGGAAUAUUGCACAAUGGGCGGAAGCCUGAUGCAGCAACGCCGCGUGCGGGAUGACGGCCUUCGGGUUGUAAACCGCUUUCGCCUGUGACGAAGCGUGAGUGACGGUAAUGGGUAAAGAAGCACCGGCUAACUACGUG
rnacentral:rRNA from 1 species